CAGUCGCCACGGGAAUACGUAGGUGGCGAGCGUUGUCCGGAUUUAUUGGGCGUAAAGGGAGUGUAGGCGGUCUUUUAAGUCUGAUGUGAAAGCCCACGGCUCAACCGUGGAGGGUCAUUGGAAACUGGGAGACUUGAGUGCAGAAGAGGAGAGCGGAAUUCCAUGUGUAGCGGUGAAAUGCGUAGAUAUAUGGAGGAACACCAGUGGCGAAGGCGGCUCUCAGGUCUGUAACUGACGCUGAGGCUCGAAAGCGUGGGGAGCAAACAGGAUUAGAGACCCCCGUAGUCCCUGUCUCUUAUAC
rnacentral:rRNA from 1 species